rnacentral:rRNA from 1 species
UACGUAGGGGGCAAGCGUUGUCCGGAUUUAUUGGGCGUAAAGAGCGUGUAGGCGGCCUUACAGGUCAGCUGUGAAAACUCGAGGCUCAACCUCGAGACGUCGGUUGAAACCGUAAGGCUAGAGUCCGGAAGAGGAUAGUGGAAUUCCCAGUGUAGUGGUGAAAUACGUAGAGAUUGGGAAGAACACCAGUGGCGAAGGCGGCAUCCUGGCCCUGUCCUGACGCUCAGGGGCGAAAGCGUGGGGAGCAAACCGG